AUUGAACGCUGGCGGCAGGCCUAACACAUGCAAGUCGAGCGAGCGGCGGACGGGUGAGUAAUGUAUGGGAAUCUGCCUGAUGGAGGGGGAUAACUACUGGAAACUGUGGCUAAUACCGCAUACUAUCGGAUGAACCCAUAUGGGAUUAGCUUGUGGGUGGGGUAAAGUCUCACCAAGGCGACGAUCCCUAGCUGGUCUGAGAGGAUGAGCAGCCACACUGGAACUGAGACACGGUCCAGACUCCAACGGGAGGCAGCAGUGGGGAAUAUUGCACAAUGGGCGCAAGCCUGAUGCCGCCAUGCCGCGUGUAUGAAGAAGGCCUUCGGGUUGUAAAGUACUUUCAGCGGGGAGGCGUUACCCGCAGAAGAAGCACCGGCUAACUCCGUGCCAGCAGCCGCGGUAAUAC
rnacentral:rRNA from 1 species